rnacentral:rRNA from 1 species
AGCUCCAAGAGUGUAUAUUAAAGUUGUUGCGGUUAGAAAGCUCGUAGUUUGACUUUAAGGAGCUUAAGGUUUCAGUACCACAAACAUUUCUUUGUGGAUUAAGGCUGUUACCGAAUUCUGGAUUUGAAAUGUAUUGGCAUCUUCGGAUGUUAAUUUCUUAUGUAUUACUUUGAAAAAAUUAGGGUGUUUAAAGCAGGCAUAAUUUGCCUUGAAUAUAUUAGCAUGGGAUAAUGAAAGAUGACCUAGUCCACAUUUAUUGUUGGGUUUUUAAUGGACUGGGUAAUGAUUAAUAGGGAUAAUUGGGGUCGUCUGUACUUGCGGGCGAGGGGUGAAAUCCUUAGACCCUGCAAAGACAAACAAAGGCGAAGGCAUUCGACAAGGAUGUUUUCAUUAAUCAAGA